rnacentral:lncRNA from 1 species
CCACUCAUUACCACAACAUACACCACUACCACCUUAAUUAGAUGGUGAUUCUCUCCCUAGCCUAUAAAUACAUUCAUCCUUCACCAUAACAAAGGAAGGAGAAAAGAUCCAUAAAAAGACACUACAUUCACAUCUCACAACUCCAUACACUUACACUUUCAUUCCUUGGCCGUGAGCACCAUCCAUUCAUCCAUUCAUUUCCCAUAUAUCUCAAAACACAACUCGAUACUCUCCCUUCCCUUGGCCGAGACAAUACACCCUUCAUCCAAAUAGGGGUGGGUUGGAAAAACCGAAAACCGAAAAAAAUCGACAACCGAACCGAACCAAGAUCGAAAAAAACGAACCGAAUUUGAUGAACCGAACCGAACCAAAUUUGGUUGGUUCGAUUUCGGUUUUUGAGAUAUAAAAACCGGAUCGGACCGGACCGAACCGAACCGAACCGAAAUAUGAAAAUCAAAUAAAAAUACUCAAAACCUGCUGGAAUGAAGAUUCGAACCCUUUCCGUCUAGGUUGGGGAUAGCUCAUUCAAGCCAACUUGACAGUAAGCUUUGUAUUGCUAUAAUUGUACCAGCAUAAUAUUUAUAGGUAUUCUAAUAUUUAAUGUUUUAUAAAAUUUAUAAAGCUUACAAACCCUAGCAGCCGUUACUCAUUCACCUUUUCAUUCUUAAACACACACUCUCUCUCUAUCUCUCCCAUCCGCUCUUCCUCUCUGCUUCCUCAGUCGAUCUCUCCCUCCUUCUUCUCUUCCUCCCUUCAACUCUCCUUCCUCUCUUCCUCUCUCCAACCUGCCAAGUCCAUGGUUGUAACAUGGACUUACCUUUUCAAAGGAUUACCACAAGAGGCGUAGGGUUUGUGAUGAAUUUAUUUGACAAUCCCCAUUUUUUCCCUCUCCAAAUCGUAUGCCUCUUAUCUCUCUGCUCCUCGUCUAAUAUUCCUUGCUUUCUCCAUAAACUUUCGAUCUCUGCUUUUCAAAUACAAGCCAAAUAGUUUUUUAAUCUGGGAUUCAUAUAGAGGUCGCACGGUCCAGACAUCCAUCUUUGUUCCUCUGGAUUUCUUUAACAAUAAGUAUUCAAUUUCUUCCUUUUUUUUUUCCUUUUCUGUUUCUUGUUUAAUUCUUUGAGUGUUGAAAAUGGUAGUUUUUUUUUUUUUUUAUGUAUUGAUUAAAAUUUUUUAUUUCUUUGGUUUGUUGACUAUGCUAUGUGAAUUUAUUUGUUGACUAUGCUUUGUGAAAUUUUGAAGAAAAAUUGGCUGAUGUUGUUCUUGAAUUUAUGUGGUAGAGAUCUUUGGUCUUUGGAUCUAUAAUCUUUAUUAAACCCUUGGAUCUCGUCUGUUUGGUUGUGUUCGGACAGGUGCUCGUGGCCGGAUGUUACAAUCGGCGAGGCGUCGGUUGGUUGAUGGCGAGGGUUUGUGCUAGUAGGGAUGCUCAGCGGCGGAUGCUGCAGUAGAACCCUAGGUUUUCUUUUGUUGUAUUUUAUGGCUUGGGCCUCUGUAUUGUUUGUUGGAUCUAUUGGACUAGUUUGGCAGGUCCUCUUUUGGGCUAGUUUACCAAUAUCCAAAUAUUAAAUAAUAAUAAUAAUAAUAAUGAAAAAAACCGAACCGGACCGAAACCAAACCGAAAAAAACCAAAAUCGAAAAAAACCGAACCGAAAAAAACUGAAAAAAAUUUGAACCGAACCGAACCGAACCGAAAUUUCGGUUUGGUUUCGGUUUUGGCAAAAAACCGAACCGUUUCAAACCGAACCCAACCCUACAUCCAAACACAUCC